CAUCAGAAUGGUGUGUUUCGUGCAGUUUCAUUGCAGUUUGACAGCAUCGGCAGUAUCAUAAAAACGACAGCCAUAUUUAGAUCUGGGCCGAGCGGUGUACUGAAAGAGCAGUAAUUAAACACUGUGGAAAAGACACAGCUGGAUGAGUUGUUUGUAUCUUAAUCAAAUGGUUAUUGAGAUAAUUCACCAUAGCCGCAGGAAGUAGUUUGUGGGUGGGGUGCUGCGAGUUUUUUUUCCCGCGCUGAAGAGUCAAUAUUGGUCCUCUAAUACAGGACUAGUAAAGGCCUAGUGCACUACUUUUGUGGAAAGAAAAUGUAAACUAAAUAUAUUUGAGUGUUUACCAGCAUUUGCAACUUGAGUUAAUCUGAUAAUUACUUGUGGAAUAUAAAAAUACUUGCUUGGUGUAUUUUUUCCAGUUUCUUGAAAUACUUUGCAAAUGCAACAUAUUGUGAAAACUGAAAUGGUCUAUUUUCCCUAGGCGAUCUUAUCCAGAGCAACUUACAGUAAUGAGUGGGAAUCAAACCCACAACCCAAGCAUUGAGAACUGCAUUUGCCUGAGAACUUAGUGUUGACAAAACAUGAAGCGAUUGGGCUUGGUUGUCCUUGUACUUCUCCUGAUGCUUUUGGCUGUUGAGGCUGAUGAUGCAGAGAUGUAGUAUUGGACGUGUGGUUAUAGAGGACUGCAGACGGUUAUGCCCAAGAAUAUAUUGUUGGACACUUCGGUUGUCCUCGCAGAUACAGGUGCUGUGUUGUGCGGUUUUAGCAGUGACUGACAGUCUAAUGAUACCUGUAACAGGACAUCACAGGCUGAUGAUUGGUUUGCUUCUUUGACAUGGAUUCUUUUGGACAAAGCCUACUGUGAUCAAAUUGCAAGCCUCUUGGUAAACGACAAUGACAAUGUUUUGAGGGAAUUUUUAGCUGACGUCGAGAUCAAUGUACAAUAUCUUGCUAUGGAAUCUGAAGUAUGUAGUUAACUUGAUGUGACUGCUUGAAGUGACUGCUUUGAUUACAGUACAUUUGACAUAAUACAUGGUAAUGCAACUAAAAUAGAGUUCAUUUGAAACGCAAUACUCAUAGGAUUAAAAUAAUCUGUAAAAUACUGUAGGAUCAAUCACAGUGAAAUUAUUUCCAUAACUAUUAUCAAUGCAUUUUCAAACAGUUGAUAUGUGCUUUGGCAAUGAGUGGUUGACAAUACAUGUGUAUCAAUACUUUCUUUGUUGUUUGGUUUUUAUUCAAAAUAUCAGGUCCUAUAAUUAUAUCAUGUUAGAUGAUGAAUUCCACUCUGUCGACCAGACUUUGAUUAUUAAAAUGAGGGUUUCAGGUACUCCAUUGUACAUCCUUUGUCUGAUGUAAUGCUGUUAGUCAAUAAUAUUGUCAUGUUGCUUUGGAAGGAGAGAAAGAUAUGACUACAAGGUAUUGAUUGAUGCAUGCACUCUGAACAGUGGUUGAAUCAAUGUAAAAAAGAAAAAAAGAAGAGUGCUUUAUUUUUUAUUUACUUUCUACAAAUAACAGCAUACAAAGCUGCUAAUGGGGGGACAAUGACAGUCAGGUGACUGACCCAAAUAGCUUUGGUGGAAUGGUGCUUUUGUGAAUGAAGUGUGACAGUUGGUGCUCAUGUUUAUGUCAUCUCACCAUGUAUGGAUAUGUUUGUUUGGCAUUUCCAUGGCAUAAUUCUGUCCUAGGUCAUUUUACUAUGUUACAACGCCAAAGCAUUUCCAUUUUAGUGGGAUGACUAAUAUGGUAGACACCUGAGAUGUCAAGUAGCCGCUAGACUUGUUUGCCUGCUGCUAUCUUGGACGAGAUGACCUUUCGACCAUAGUGCAUGUAUAUUGAGACCAAUCCACAAAUAGCAACAAUAUCCCCAAAUCAUACCAAUCUUCCCUUGAAAUCCAAAUGUAUGCAUACCCAAAGAAAACCAAAAACCAAACAAACCUCCUAAAAUGCAUGGCCUACUCAGUGGUUUAACUAGUAACAACCUGUUAUAGACCAGUAGGAGUGUUAACCCUGGUGUCCUGGCUACAUUCCCAAUCUGGCCCUCAUACCAUCAUGGCCACCUAAUCAUCUCCAGCUUCCAAUUGGCUUAUUCAUUCCCCCUCCUCUCCCCUGUAACUAUUCCCCAGGUUGUUGCUGUAAAUGAGAAUGUGUUCUCAAUCAAUUUACCUGCUCAAAUAAGGUUUUAAAAAAUGUAAAUAAAAAGGUCUCAGUCAUUGUCUGAAGCUUUGGCUUGUGACUGGCCUGGAGCAGUAGAGGUUAAAGGCAUGGAUGUUAUCUGUAAAAAUGUGCUACUGCAUUGUACACUGCUUUGUGUUCUCCGUCCAUCAUUCUAUCUUUGUACCUCUGCUAUUCAGUCAGCACAGUGUGACACUACCACAAUGGAGUAAACCCCCACAGAUCUGUUUACAUGAGGCUCUCUAUCUUCACAAUUAUAUCACGGCUAACCACACAGGCGUCACACCAGCUGGUUUAUCCCAGCAAUUUAGGGGUGGGUUUCUGAUGUUAUUUACUUGUACUUUAUUUUGAUAAAAUAAAACAUUUUAUUUUGAAAAAUAGAUUUUAA